rnacentral:tRNA from 2 species
GGGCCCGUAGCUCAGCUUGGUAGAGCGUCAGGCUCAUAACCUGCCGGUCAGGGGUUCAAGUCCCCUCGGGCCCA